rnacentral:rRNA from 1 species
AGAGUUUGAUCAUGGCUCAGAACGAACGCUGGCGGCGUGCUUAACACAUGCAAGUCGAACGCGAAAGUUUUCUUCGGAAGACGAGUAGAGUGGCGCACGGGUGAGUAACGCGUAAGUAAUCUGCCCUGGUAUCUGGGAUAACCCACCGAAAGGUGUGCUAAUACGGGAUACGCUGAUUUAUCAGGAAAGGUGGCCUCUUCAUGAAAGCUACUGUACCAGGAGGAGCUUGCGUACCAUUAGCUAGUUGGUAGGGUAAUGGCCUACCAAGGCGACGAUGGUUAGCGGGUCUGAGAGGAUGAUCCGCCACACUGGAACUGAAACACGGACCAGACUCCUACGGGAGGCAGCAGUGAGGAAUAUUGCGCAAUGGGGGAAACCCUGACGCAGCGACGCCGCGUGGAUGAUGAAGGCCUUCGGGUCGUAAAAUCCUGUCAGAUGGAAAGAGAUGUAGUAUGCCUAAUACGUGUACUAUUUGACGGUACCAUCAAAGGAAGCACCGGCUAACUCCGUGCCAGCAGCCGCGGUAAUACGGAGGGUGCAAGCGUUGUUCGGAAUUACUGGGCGUAAAGCGCGCGUAGGCGGCUAUGUAAGUCAGAUGUGAAAGUCCACGGCUCAACCGUGGAAGUGCAUUUGAAACUGGAUGGCUUGAGUACUGGAGGGGGUGGUGGAAUUCCCGGUGUAGAGGUGAAAUUCGUAGAUAUCGGGAGGAAUACCGGUGGCGAAGGCGACCACCUGGCCAGAUACUGACGCUGAGGUGCGAA